UCCCUGGUGGUCCAGUGGUUAAGACUCUGCGCUCCCAAUGCAGGGGGCACGGGUUUGAUUUCUGGUCAGGGAA
rfam:Ovis aries breed Texel chromosome 5, whole genome shotgun sequence.